CAGGAAGUGGUGCAGCUGGUGAUAAAACUCUCUUCAUCGCGUCUACCAGCUCCUGAAUUGGAUCGGGGUCGCUCAUGCUGUUAACUUUAUUGGUCCGGGCUUCUGUUAGGAAACGGACGGACAAACAGGUAUGGAUGAUGAUAUUGAUGCUGACCGAAUACACACACCAGAUGAGUAGGGGAUGAGACAGAAUGAUGGAGCACCCACUAGAUGAGUUGCGGAGACGACAACGAUGAAACACACACCUCCAACUGGACACGGGGCUGACUGGACAAACUGGAGAUAAAACAGAGAAUAGGUAA
rnacentral:lncRNA from 1 species